rnacentral:lncRNA from 1 species
UUGAAUCUAGUGAAACAUGUAAGUAAAAACUUCUUCCUUUCUUCACAUAACUUGGGACUGGAAAAAAGAAAACAGAGGAACAAAACAGAACAUACACUAUUGUUUUUUUCUUCAUCUUGUAGAUUUGGGAUCUAUGGGAAAAAGGUGAAGCUUCAGGGAUCAUAGACAAGUUAAUGGGUGAAGAUUCUUAUGAUGAGAGCGAAGUAAUGAAGUGCUUACACAUUGGGUUGCUUUGCGUGCAAGAAAACGCUUCGGACAGACCAGACAUGUCAUCUGUUGUCUUCAUGUUAGGUCACAACGCC